GUUUGAUCAUGGCUCAGGAUGAACGCUGGCGGCGUGCCUAAUACAUGCAAGUCGAGCGAACUGAUUAGAAGCUUGCUUCUAUGACGUUAGCGGCGGACGGGUGAGUAACACGUGGGCAACCUGCCUGUAAGACUGGGAUAACUUCGGGAAACCGAAGCUAAUACCGGAUAGGAUCUUCUCCUUCAUGGGAGAUGAUUGAAAGAUGGUUUNNNCUAUCACUUACAGAUGGGCCCGCGGUGCAUUAGCUAGUUGGUGAGGUAACGGCUCACCAAGGCAACGAUGCAUAGCCGACCUGAGAGGGUGAUCGGCCACACUGGGACUGAGACACGGCCCAGACUCCUACGGGAGGCAGCAGUAGGGAAUCUUCCGCAAUGGACGAAAGUCUGACGGAGCAACGCCGCGUGAGUGAUGAAGGCUUUCGGGUCGUAAAACUCUGUUGUUAGGGAAGAACAAGUACAAGAGUAACUGCNNNUACCUUGACGGUACCUAACCAGAAAGCCACGGCUAACUACGUGCCAGCAGCCGCGGUA
rnacentral:rRNA from 1 species